rnacentral:rRNA from 1 species
UACGUAGGGACCGAGCGUUGUCCGGAAUCAUUGGGCGUCAAGAGCGUGUAGGCGGCCACUUAAGUCCUGCGUGAAAUCUUGCGGCUCAACCGCAAGCGGUCGUGGGAAACUGGGUGGCUAGAGUGCGGGAGAGGAGAGUGGAAUUCCUGGUGUAGCGGUGGAAUGCGCAGAUAUCAGGAAGAACACCCGUGGCGAAGGCGGCUCUCUGGAACGCAACUGACGCUGAGACGCGAAAGCGUGGGGAGCAAACAGG